UACGGAGGGUGCAAGCAUUAAUCGGAUUUAUUGGGCGUAAAGGGCGCGUAGGCUGGUCUGUAAGUCAGAUGUGAAAUCCCGGGGCUCAACCUCGGAACAGCAUUUGAAACUGCAGACCUAGAGGGUAGGCGGAGAAAACGGAAUUCCACAAGUAGCGGUGAAAAUGCGUAGAUAUGUGGAAGAACACCGGUGGCGAAGGCGGUUUUCUAGCUUACUCCUGACGCUGAGGCGCGAAAGCAAGGGGAUCAAACAGG
rnacentral:rRNA from 1 species